rnacentral:sRNA from 1 species
UUAUUUAAAUAUUUAUUUAAGUAUUUAUUUAAAUGUUUAUUUAAAUAUUUUUAAACAAAUAAUAACGUCAAACUUGUUCAUACAACAAAUGUAUAUACGGUGGCUUUUUAAAUUUUGAUUUUAAAAGUGUCAAUCCAUAUAUAUCACAGACCU